rnacentral:RNase_P_RNA from 1 species
UGAGUAAGACAGAUGGUCGCGGCUGCAGAACCGAAAGGCUGCAGGUGAGGAAAGUCCGGGCUUCACAGGGCAGGAUGCCAGAUAACGUCUGGUGGAGGCGACUCCAAGGACAGUGCAACAGAAAUGUACCGCCCGGUUUACCGGGUAAGGGUGGAAGGGCAGUGUAAGAGACUACCGCCCGGCUGGUAACAGCCGGGGCACAUGUAAACUCCAUCCGAAGCAAGACCGAACAGAGAGCGCAAGGCGGCCCGUCUGCUCUCGGGUAGGUCGCUUGAGCCUGCUGGCGACAGCAGGACUAGAUAGAUGACCAUUCAACGACAUAACCCGGCUUACCGUUUUGCUCAAAUC